rnacentral:rRNA from 1 species
GCGUGCCUAAUACAUGCAAGUCGAGCGAACAGACGAGGAGCUUGCUCCUCUGACGUUAGCGGCGGACGGGUGAGUAACACGUGGGUAACCUACCUAUAAGACUGGGAUAACUCCGGGAAACCGGGGCUAAUACCGGAUAACACAUGAAACCGCAUGGUUUCAUGAUGAAAGACGGUUUUGCUGUCACUUAUAGAUGGACCCGCGGCGUAUUAGCUAGUUGGUAAGGUAACGGCUUACCAAGGCAACGAUACGUAGCCGACCUGAGAGGGUGAUCGGCCACACUGGAACUGAGACACGGUCCAGACUCCUACGGGAGGCAGCAGUAGGGAAUCUUCCGCAAUGGGCGAAAGCCUGACGGAGCAACGCCGCGUGAGUGAUGAAGGUCUUCGGAUCGUAAAACUCUGUUAUUAGGGAAGAACAAGGAUGUAAGUAACUAUGCAUCCCUUGACGGUACCUAAUCAGAAAGCCACGGCUAACUACGUGCCAGCAGCCGCGGUAAUACGUAGGUGGCAAGCGUUAUCCGGAAUUAUUGGGCGUAAAGCGCGCGUAGGCGGUUUUUUAAGUCUGAUGUGAAAGCCCACGGCUCAACCGUGGAGGGUCAUUGGAAACUGGAAAACUUGAGUGCAGAAGAGGAAAGUGGAAUUCCAUGUGUAGCGGUGAAAUGCGCAGAGAUAUGGAGGAACACCAGUGGCGAAGGCGACUUUCUGGUCUGCAACUGA